GAGCUCUGGAACCAAGGAAAACCGAGGCCUCCGCGCCGCCUAGAGAGGCCACACCGCGCUCAAGCCUCUCACUGGCCGCACUUCCGGCGGUUUAUAAGAGCUUCCUGCGCCCCCUCCUCCGCCCCCCACCACACCACCGGGCGCCAAGCUUGAGGGUGGCGGAGCCCUCAUCUCGUAGAACUUCUGGCCUUCGCGCUGGCGGGUCCCUCCUCCGUUGGUACAGGUCAUCACUUCCUCCGUGGGACAGCUUUUGGUUGCUGCCCCGACACCGGCGAGGGCCUGACGGUGGUCGUCAUGGGUGACAGUGACCGCCUCGUAGUUACCCUCGCUGGUGUUUUUUGCGGGGCGGUGGGCGCACCGAGACGCAGACGCGCCCUCCGGAGCGGCGGCCCGAGGGGGCCUGCCCAGGCUGCUGGGAGGAGCCGUGGGCCUGAGAUCCUUCACCUGGCACGCGUGUCGUGGGGCUCAGAGCGCUCAGGAGGAACCACGGAGACAGAGAGAGGGGAAGGGAGAGAGAAAGCAAGACAAACAUCCACUGGCUGCCCUCCAUACACGCCCUGACUGGGAACCUGGCCCACAACCCAGAUGACAAAAGACCUCAAAGUGAAAUGUGUUGCCAGUGUGGAAGAGAUGAAACAAAAAACUGCAGAAGCACUAAAAGGCCUCAAAAUCAAUGAAUUCAAAAACUUGUGAGUAGCAGAAAUAACGUCUCGAUGGGGGUAUUGCAUCAAAUGGAGAGGGCUUUGGACGUGACGGAAGUUUACACAUGUACAAAUAAAUACACGAGUUUUUAUAAAUAAAUUCCGGGGUCUUGGGUCCCCCUUACUAUACAGGGUCAGUACUACAGUUUCAGGCAUCCACUGGGGGGUCUUGGAUCAUAUCCUCCAUGGGCAAGGGGGGGCUACCAUAUUCCACAGCACGAGCAUCUGGCCUGCUUGCCCCGCUGGGCGCGUGUGAGCAGUGCUGCUACAAGCACGUCCGUGUCCUUGCGCCGAUGCCCGUCUUCGGCUCUGCGGGUCUGUGUCUAGCUGUGGACUUCCUGGGUCGUCUGGUGAUGCUCUGUUUAAUCUUCUGAGAAACUGCCAGAUUAUCCCACAGUGGCCGCACCAUUUUACACUCCUAACAGCAGUGUGCCAGGGCUCCAACUUCUCCACACAGUGGAAACACUUGUUAUUUAUUUACUUUUUUAUUACACCCAUCCCAGUGGGUGUGAAGUGGUCAUCUCACUGCAGUUUUGAUUUGCAUUUCUCAAACGGCUAUCGAAUCGGAGCAUCUUCCCACUUGUUUGUUAGCCACUUCUAUCCUUUCUUUGGAGAAAUGUUUACUCGGGUACUUUGCUCACUUUUAAACUGGGCUGUUUGUCUUUUGCUGUUGGAUCAUUAAGAGUUCUUUACAGAUUCUGGGUACUAGACCCUCACCAGAUGCACAACUUGCAGAUUUUCUCCCAUUCUUAGGGUGUGUUUUUACUUUCUCGACGUCCUUUAGUGCCCACAACUGUAAAAUGCUGAUGAAGUUCCGUUUACCUAUGUCUUUCUGUUGUUGCUGUUUCUCACGGUUUAGGUGUUGUAUCUAAGAACCCAGUGCCAAACCCGACAUUAUGCAGUUUACCCGUUUUCUUACAAGACUGUUAUGAUUUUAUUUCUUUUUUCCCCUUUUUUUCUCCCUCCCCUCCAUGACUUUAGUUCUUAUAUUUAGGUUGUUGGGCUGUUUUGAGUCAGUUUUGCAUUCAGACGAGGUAGGGGUCCAAGUUCAUUCCUUCGCAUGUGGCAACCCACUUGUCCCAGCACCAUCUGGUGGAACUUUCGCUCUCCUCACUGAGUGGCCGUGGCACCCUGCUGAACAUCAGCCGGCCACAGGUGUGUGGGUCUGUUCCAGGCCCCCAGUUCUUUCCCACUCAUGUGUGUCUGUCCUGAUGCCGGAGCCGACCUGCUUUCAUCACCGCGGUUCUGUGGUCGGUUGAGAAACUGGGAAGUGCACAUCC